AAAUUUCCUUGAAUAACAACUAUAUAGUUGUUGAUAGCAGGGGUGGCUGCGAGCGAUAAAAAUUUAUGCAUGUAAAUGUAUGUAUGUAUAAGUAUAUAUUUAUAUAUGAGUGUGUGUGAAAACGUUGUGGAUUAGUGUUGGGGACUUGCUGUAGCGCAGUUUGGGUAUUAAACAAAAAAAUUUAGUUUUAGGCAGUUUUAGAUAAAAGUUAUUUAUCUACUCUAAAAUGCUCUGAAGGGGAGCUUUGGUAUAUUUAGAGCAUUUCGAGACACUUUCGGUAUAAUUUCAUAUCUAUUUAUUUUAUUUUUUCAGGCGCAUGAUUAUUGUGCAAUCUUGCUAUGGGCAAUCAUAUGUAUGUGAAGUAAGCAUGUGAAAUUAAAAUUAAGCAUACUUUUGGGCGAAUAACAAUGAUUAUUUUACUUAAAAUAUUUAAGAAAUAGUUUUUAAUUAUGUUAUAUACUUUAUUCUGUCUUUUUUCUUCUCUAGUGCUAAUUUUGGAAGCGAUCUGGUCACAUAGGCAGAGUCAGGGGCUGUUUAUCACACCGUUCUUGUACGACAAAUGCAAUUAAAAGUGAGUCGAAAAUGCAAUAAGUCAAGCAAAGUUUUGCACACCACUCGACACUUGGCGCACGACGGCAAAAUAUGUACCCAAAGCACACCAGACACCCUUCGAAGUCUUGCAAGAAGCAAAAGGUGAUUAUGAGUAGCAAAGCAGCGGAAGAAGGUGCGAAGCAGAAGCUGACUAAUUUGGCAAAAAACUACUUCAUUAACGGUACAACUGACUAUAACGGCAUGAAGUACACUGAAGAAGUGUUUUAAGUUGAUUUAUGUGACUAUGCGUAUGUAUUGGUGCAACCGAACGGUAUGAGUGCAGCGAGGAAGUGUGUAUGGCUGCCGAGAGAGGAAAGCAUGUGACGCCGAAUUUGGGCCACUCGAUCGCCUUUGACUCACUUAACCUUUUUAUGAACACUAUUUGGCUAAAUGCGAAAUCAAUUAUGAAAGCGGAAGUAAUUAACGGAGAAAUCGAUGAAGCUUACAACAACAACACCCAGCAAUCAUAUAUAAUUUAACAUCGAACAAUAUUAAUGCAUAUUGGCUAGAACCUUCACAUAUAUUUUACAAAAUUUCAUCCGAACUAACGAAAAUGGACAAUUUUUGAGCUCAAACCGAAAAGAAAGCUAUUUUAUUUAAGAAAAAUUCAAAUCCACUUCAAACAAUGUUUAGUCCAUAAGACCAUUCAAGUAAAACACAUAAAUAAUA